UUCUGGGAUGAUGAUGAUGGAUUGGAUGGUAGUUUUGGGGCAAUUUCGAAAAUACUGAUAAUUUGAGAGGUAUAUUGCAAAUAACUCAGGAAUCUAACCCAUGGCUGUUUCAUCCGUAAUCAGAAACCCUAAUAUCAUCUCCUCUCUGUUGGAGUGAUAUCGGAUCCGCUCUCUGCCCGAAUCCGUUUUAGUCUGCCAGUCGAUGGAUCCGUUCUCCUGCAAGAAAAAUAUUUUUUUUUGUGAGGAGGGGGACUAUGGGAGCAGGAAUUGUUUCAUAAGUAAUCAGGUGAGAUUGUCAGCUGCAGUCACACAUUUUAACAUAGCUAAUUGGAGGGAUAAAAGGUGCGAUGGUGGUCAUGCUUGCGUGCAGCGUGGUAAAUGAGUACAAGAGUUUCUGCAGGAAAGAUAUCUAUGAUUUCCUGUCGAAAACAUCGUAAGUUUUACUCUUGUGACACAAGCAAUAUGGGGAAGAUUGAUAUCCAUGGCUUUUCCUUGGUUCUCCAGUCGGAGUCUUGUUCUCUAUGUGGCAAAUAGCAAUUUUUUGUGGUCACUGACCUGGAAUAUGCUUUCUUUUCUUCGCAACCUUUUCUACUGGUAUUUAAAGUAAUGUAUGUGCAGGCCAAGGAUUUCUCCCCUAGAUUGUUUUGAAGCGGUCUACAGAUCAGUUCCUUGCUUCAUCCUUUUGCCUCUGAAAUUUUCAAUCGAACUGUAAUAAAGUUGAUUUGUAUCUCUACAGUAUCCGAAGGCAUAAUAAUUAUGUAUAUAGUAAACUUGGAUUUAAUUGGCCUUAGGUCUUUGGUAUGAGUUCGUAAGAAUUUGAGGUGAAGACUGGAUCCGAGGAGUCCCAAUGAUGAAUAAGUAAGCUGCUAAUUUUAAUGUCUAUUGUUGGGUCCUGGCAUGGACCCAAGUGCCUGCCUCGAUCAGAGAUGGUUCUCGUGUGUAUUAACUUGACCUGACUGACUUCU